AGAAGAUUUUCUUUUCCUCAAUCCUUUUGCUUUUGAUUAAGAAGAUAAAAGCAGGAAUCCUUAAAGCAUAUGACAUCUUACAAUUAGUUGAAGAACAAAAUCAAUUCAUGAAGAAGAUUGAAACAGAAACCCAAAAUGAAGUCUUGAAGAACAAAAUACCCUCUUUCACCAAUUUGAAAGGACUGUGGUGAAAGAAUUGUAUUUAGUGUAUUUGUGAAUCUUGGGGUGGAGCCCUUGUGAAACAAAAAAUCAAAGGAACAUUUCAGUCAAGAGAAACAAAAAAUGAUGUAUUGCCCCAUAUGUGCGCACCCCAGCAAAUUAUCUAUAUAUGUAAGAAAAAAACAAAAUAAUUCUCUCACCCAAAAUAAUUGUGGUUACUUCACCAAUAAACUUAUACUAACAAUCAAUUUAAAUUGAACUUAAGGAAAUAUAUAGAGUAAAGUAAGAUAAGUCACCCAAUUGGCAUACUAAAACA
rnacentral:lncRNA from 1 species